rnacentral:rRNA from 1 species
UAACAUGCCCUAAGGUGGGGGAUAAUCUCGGGAAACUGAGGAUAAUACCCCAUAGGUCUGAUCUGCUGGAAUGCUUUCAGGCCGAAAACUCCGGUGCCUUAGGAUUGGUCUGCGGUCUAUCAGGCUGUAGUGGGUGUAAUGGACCCACUAGCCCGUGACGGAUAUGGGCCUUGAGAGAGGGAGCCCAGAGAUGGACUCUGAGACAUGAGUCCAGGCCCUACGGGGCGCAGCAGUCGCGAAAACUUCGCAAUGGGGGCAACCCCGACGAGGGAAUUCCAAGUGCCAGCACUUUGUGUUGGCUGUUCUCCUGUCUAAAAAACAGGAGGAGUAAGGGGCGGGUAAGACGGGUGCCAGCCGCCGCGGUAAUACCCGCGCCCCUAGUGGUGGUCGAUAUUAUUGAGCCUAAAACGUCCGUAGCCGGUCUUCUAAAUCCUUGGGUAAAUCGGGCAGCUUAACUGUCCGAAGUCCGGGGAGACUGGGAGACUUGGGACCGGGAGAGGUCAGAGGUACUUCUGGGGUAGGGGUAAAAUCCUGUAAUCCUGGAAGGACCACCGGUGGCGAAGGCGUCUGACUAGAACGGAUCCGACGGUGAGGGACGAAGCCCUGGGGCGCAAACGGGAUUAGAUACCCCGGUAGUCCAGGGUGUAAACGAUGCGGGCUUGGUGUUGGGGUCCCUUAGUGGGCGCCCAGUGCCGGAGAGAAGUUGUUAAGCCUGCUGCUUGGGAGUAUGUCCGCAAGG